rnacentral:rRNA from 1 species
UAUAUACAUGCAGUCGAGCGGACAGAUGGGAGCUUGCUCCCUGAUGUUAGCGGCGGACGGGUGAGUAACACGUGGGUAACCUGCCUGUAAGACUGGGAUAACUCCGGGAAACCGGGGCUAAUACCGGAUGCUUGUUUGAACCGCAUGGUUCAAACAUAAAAGGUGGCUUCGGCUACCACUUACAGAUGGACCCGCGGCGCAUUAGCUAGUUGGUGAGGUAAUGGCUCACCAAGGCAACGAUGCGUAGCCGACCUGAGAGGGUGAUCGGCCACACUGGGACUGAGACACGGCCCAGACUCCUACGGGAGGCAGCAGUAGGGAAUCUUCCGCAAUGGACGAAAGUCUGACGGAGCAACGCCGCGUGAGUGAUGAAGGUUUUCGGAUCGUAAAGCUCUGUUGUUAGGGAAGAACAAGUACCGUUCGAAUAGGGCGGUACCUUGACGGUACCUAACCAGAAAGCCACGGCUAACUACGUGCCAGCAGCCGCGGUAAUACGUAGGUGGCAAGCGUUGUCCGGAAUUAUUGGGCGUAAAGGGCUCGCAGGCGGUUUCUUAAGUCUGAUGUGAAAGCCCCCGGCUCAACCGGGGAGGGUCAUUGGAAACUGGGGAACUUGAGUGCAGAAGAGGAGAGUGGAAUUCCACGUGUAGCGGUGAAAUGCGUAGAGAUGUGGAGGAACACCAGUGGCGAAGGCGACUCUCUGGUCUGUAACUGACGCUGAGGAGCGAAAGCGUGGGGAGCGAACAGGAUUAGAUACCCUGGUAGUCCACGCCGUAAACGAUGAGUGCUAAGUGUUAGGGGGUUUCCGCCCCUUAGUGCUGCAGCUAACGCAUUAAGCACUCCGCCUGGGGAGUACGGUCGCAAGACUGAAACUCAAAGGAAUUGACGGGGGCCCGCACAAGCGGUGGAGCAUGUGGUUUAAUUCGAAGCAACGCGAAGAACCUUACCAGGUCUUGACAUCCUCUGACAAUCCUAGAGAUAGGACGUCCCCUUCGGGGGCAGAAUGACAGGUGGUGCAUGGUUGUCGUCAGCUCGUGUCGUGAAAUGUUGGGUUAAGUCCCGCAACGAGCGCAACCCUUGAUCUUAGUUGCCAGCAUUCAGUUGGGCACUCUAAGGUGACUGCCGGUGACAAACCGGAGGAAGGUGGGGAUGACGUCAAAUCAUCAUGCCCCUUAUGACCUGGGCUACACACGUGCUACAAUGGACAGAACAAAGGGCAGCGAAACCGCGAGGUUAAGCCAAUCCCACAAAUC